rnacentral:rRNA from 1 species
CCUACGGGAGGCAGCAGUGGGGAAUAUUGCUCAAUGGGCGAAAGCCUGACGCAGCGACGCCGCGUGAGGGAUGAAGGUCUUCGGAUCGUAAACCUCUGUCAGCAGGGAAGAACGGUCACUGUGCUAAUCAUCAGUGAAUUGACGGUACCUGCAAAGGAAGCACCGGCUAACUCCGUGCCAGCAGCCGCGGUAAUACGGAGGGGGCGAGCGUUAAUCGGAAUUACUGGGCGUAAAGCGCUCGUAGGCGGUAUGUCAAGUCAAGGGUGAAAUCCCCGCGCUCAACGUGGGAACUGCAUUUGAAACUGGCAGACUGGAGUGUGUGUGAGGAUAGUGGAAUUCCAGGUGUAGGGGUGAAAUCCGUAGAUAUCUGGAGGAACAUCAGUGGCGAAGGCGACUAUCUGGCACAUAACUGACGCUGAGGAGCGAAAGCGUGGGUAGCAAACAGGAUUAGAUACCCCUGUAGUC